AUAAGAGUGGCAAUGAUUCGAAAACAUGCUCAUAUUUCAAUGAAUUGAAUGAAAUAUAUUUGCAUGCAACCGGCAGUUGAUAAUAAAGUCAAAUCUGAUGAGCAAAAAAAUUACUGGUAAGCAGAAGAAAAAGAAAAAACUGAGCAUUGGUGAAAGCCUUACAAAGGCCCAAGAUGAUCUGAAGGAGGAAAAUAAGAAAAAAAAGUUAUAAAUGGAAGAAAUGGAUAGGGAAAAAUGGAGCGUUUCGACUGCUUGCUAAAUCUAUACAAAAAGGAUCUUUCUAUGCAAUU